rnacentral:rRNA from 1 species
GAUGAACGCUGGCGGCGUGCUUAACACAUGCAAGUCGAACGGUGAAGCAGGAGCUUGCUCCUGUGGAUCAGUGGCGAACGGGUGAGUAACACGUGAGCAAUCUGCCCUGGACUCUGGGAUAAGCGUUGGAAACGACGUCUAAUACCGGAUACGAGGCGUGGGGGCAUCCCCAACGCCUGGAAAGAACUUCGGUCCAGGAUGAGCUCGCGGCCUAUCAGGUAGUUGGUGAGGUAACGGCUCACCAAGCCUACGACGGGUAGCCGGCCUGAGAGGGUGACCGGCCACACUGGGACUGAGACACGGCCCAGACUCCUACGGGAGGCAGCAGUGGGGAAUAUUGCACAAUGGGCGCAAGCCUGAUGCAGCAACGCCGCGUGAGGGACGACGGCCUUCGGGUUGUAAACCUCUUUUAGCAGGGAAGAAGCGAAAGUGACGGUACCUGCAGAAUAAGCUCCGGCUAACUCCGUGCCAGCCGCCGCCGUAACAC